rnacentral:rRNA from 1 species
AUUGAACGCUGGCGGCAGGCUUAACACAUGCAAGUCGAGCGAGCGGCGGACGGGUGAGUAAUGUCUGGGAAACUGCCUGAUGGAGGGGGAUAACUACUGGAAACGGUAGCUAAUACCGCAUACCAUCAGAUGUGCCCAGAUGGGAUUAGCUAGUAGGUAAGGUAAUGGCUCACCUAGGCGACGAUCCCUAGCUGGUCUGAGAGGAUGAACAGCCACACUGGAACUGAGACACGGCCCAGACUCCUACGGGAGGCAGCAGUGGGGAAUAUUGCACAAUGGGCGCAAGCCUGAUGCAGCCAUGCCGCGUGUAUGAAGAAGGCCUUCGGGUUGUAAAGUACUUUCAGCGAGGAGGCGUUACCCGCAGAAGAAGCACCGGCUAACUCCGUGCCAGCAGCCGCGGUAAUUC